rnacentral:rRNA from 1 species
AGAUUGAACGCUGGCGGAAUGCUUUACACAUGCAAGUCGAGCGGCAGCGCGGGGGCAACCCUGGCGGCGAGCGGCGAACGGGUGAGUAAUACAUCGGAACAUGUCCAGUUGUGGGGGAUAGCCCGGCGAAAGCCGGAUUAAUACCGCAUGAGCUCGAGAGAGGAAAGCGGGGGACCGUAAGGCCUCGCGCGACUGGGUUGGCCGAUGUCCGAUUAGCUAGUUGGUGGGGUAAAGCCUACCAAGGCGAUGAUCGGUAGCUGGUCUGAGAGGAUGAUCAGCCACACUGGGACUGAGACACGGCCCAGACUCCUACGGGAGGCAGCAGUGGGGAAUUUUGGACAAUGGGGGCAACCCUGAUCCAGCCAUUCCGCGUGAGUGAAGAAGGCCUUCGGGUUGUAAAGCUCUUUUGUCCGGUAGCGAAACGGUGGCGGUGAUAUCCGCCACUACUGACGGUACCGGAAGAAGUAAGCACCGGCUAACUACGUGCCAGCAGCCGCGGUAAUCUGA